rnacentral:tRNA from 1 species
GUCCGCGUAGCUCAGCAGGAUAGAGCACAGGAUUCCUGGUUUUUAAUUGGGCGUUGCGUUUGGAAACGGCGCAGCGGAUCCGCUCAAAGUCGGGGAACGCUACGGCGCGCUUGCGCCUUGCCGAUCCCGAGCCAAGCCCCCGACAGGGGGAAGGUGUAGAGACUGGAUGGGCGGCACCUACGGGCCUCGGCCUAUGGUGAAGGGACAGUCCAGACCACGAACGCCGGACCAAACGUUGGACGGUGGCGGCGAAAGCCGAAGUGGUAUGAAUCCUGGGGCCGUGGGUUCGAAUCCCGCCGCGGACACCA